UCCCAUCUGGUCAGCAGCAAGAGGCAGAAGGCAAAACCCGUGGCAUAUUUAAAACCGUGGUUUUUACCCAGGCUAAUAGGCUGUCUCUACCAAUCAGCGGUGGAGGUGUGCAGAGGGGGAACUCCAAGUUUAAAAGCAUUGUCAUGCUGCAACCUGGGCCCGCAAUUUAAACCAGGCCUUAAUGAUCAGAUUUAAUUCUAAUCCUAGCCCUUUCAGAAAUAGUCUCUCAGCUAACUUACCUGAAAGACUUACCUGCAAGCCAGCAGACUUCAUGAUGCAUACAUAUUCUCAGUCCAUCUUUCAAAACAACCAGUCAGAAGUCAGGAACUGCUGUAUUUCUGGAGGCCAGAUCCGGAGGACAGAUCAUUGCAGUCUACAAGAGAAGAAAGCAGAUGGAAAUUAUGGUCUGAAAGCUUUUGAAGUUGGAAUAGGCAAUGAUGCAUGAACCAUAAAGUGAAG
rnacentral:lncRNA from 1 species